rnacentral:rRNA from 1 species
GACGAACGCUGGCGGCGUGCUUAACACAUGCAAGUCGAACGGAAAGGCCCUGCUUUUGUGGGGAGCUCGAGUGCCGCACGCGUGAGUAACACGUGAGUAACCUCCCCCUUACUUCGGGAUAACUUCAGGAGACUCGGGCUCUAAUAGCAUAUGAGCUCCUGCUGCACGGUGUGGAUUGGAAAGUUUCGCCGUUUCGGGAUGGACUCGAGGCUUAUCAGCUUGUUGGUGGGGUAGUGGCUUACCAAGGCGUUGACGGGUAGCCGGCCUGCGAGGGUGACCGGCCACAAUGGGACUGAGGUAGGGCCCAGACUCCUUCGGGGGGCAGCAGUGGGAGAUAUUGCGCAAUGGGCGGAAGCCGGAUGCAGCAACGUCGCGUGCUGGAUGACGGCCUUCGGGUUAGAAACCUCGUGCGACUGGAACGAUGAGUGAGUGACGGUAACGAGUAAGGAAGCACCGGCUAACUACGUG